GAUGAAGAGCGUAGCGAAAUGCGAUAAGUAAUGUGAAUUGCAGAAUUCAGUGAAUCAUCGAAUCUUUGAACGCACCUUGCGCCCUUUGGCUAUUCUGAAGGGCAUGCCUGUUUGAGUAUCAUGAACACCUCAACUCUCAUGGUUCGCCAUGAUGAGCUUGGACUUUGGGGGUCUUGCUGGCCUACGGUCGGCUCCUCUCAAAUGAAUCAGCUUGCCAGUGUUUGGUAGAGUCGCAGGUGUGAUAACUAUCUACGCUUGUGGUUUUCUGCCAGAUAACCUUCAGUGAUGGAGGUUCGCUGGAGCUUAUAAAUGUCUCUCCCCAGUGAGGACAGCUUUUUGAACGUUUGAUCUCAAAUCAGGUAGGACUACCCGCUGAACUUAAGCAUAUCAAUAAGCGGAGGA
rnacentral:misc_RNA from 1 species